GCGGGGGUAGCAAAGUUUGGUCAAACGCGCAGGACUUAAGAUCCUGUCCUUAGUGGUUCGAGGGUUCAAAUCCCUUCCCCCGCA
rnacentral:tRNA from 1 species